rnacentral:rRNA from 1 species
GAUCAACGCUGGCGGCGUGCCUAAUGCAUGCAAGUCGAACGGAGCCGCCUUCGGGCGGUCACGUGGCGGACGGGUGAGGAACACGUGGGCGAUCUGCCCCGGGGCGGGGGAUAGCCACCAGAAAUGGUGGGUAAUACCGCAUGUGGUGACCGAUGUACGCAUCGGCCACGAAAGGCGCAAGCCACCCUGGGAGGAGCCUG